rnacentral:rRNA from 1 species
AGGCAGCAGUGAGGAAUAUUGGUCAAUGGCCGCAGGGCUGAACCAGCCAAGUCGCGUGAGGGAUGACGGUCCUAUGGAUUGUAAACCUCUUUUGUCAGGGAGCAAAGGGCGCCACGUGUGGCGUUUUGCGAGUACCUGAAGAAAAAGCAUCGGCUAACUCCGUGCCAGCAGCCGCGGUAAUACGGAGGAUGCGAGCGUUAUCCGGAUUUAUUGGGUUUAAAGGGUGCGCAGGCGGAAUGUCAAGUCAGCGGUAAAAUUUCGGGGCUCAACCCCGUCGUGCCGUUGAAACUGGCGUUCUUGAGUGAGCGAGAAGUAUGCGGAAUGCGUGGUGUAGCGGUGAAAUGCAUAGAUAUCACGCAGAACUCCGAUUGCGAAGGCAGCAUACCGGCGCUCAACUGACGCUCAUGCACGAAAGCGUGGGUAUCGAACAGGAUUAGAUACCCUGGUAGUCCACGCAGUAAACGAUGAAUACUAACUGUCCGGGCAGAAUGAUGCCUGG